rnacentral:rRNA from 1 species
UACGGGGGGGGCAAGCGUUGUUCGGAAUUACUGGGCGUAAAGGGCUCGUAGGCGGCCAACUAAGUCGGAUGUGAAAUCCCUCAGCUUAACUGGGGAACUGCGUCCGAUACUGGAUGGCUUGGAUUUGGGAGAGGGAUGCGGAAUUCCAGGUGUAGCGGUGAAAUGCGUAGAUAUCUGGAGGAACACCGGUGGCGAAGGCGGCAUCCUGGACCAACAUUGACGCUGAGGAGCGAAAGCUAGGGGAGCAAACGGG